rnacentral:tRNA from 1 species
GGGUCCUUAGCUCAGCUGGUUAGAGCGCUACGUUGACAUCGUAGAGGUCGGUGGUUCGAGUCCACUAGGACCCACCC